CUACGGGUCGCUCCAGUGGGGAAUCUUGGACAAUGGGCGCAAGCCUGAUCCAGCCAUGCCGCGUGAGUGAUGAAGGCCUUAGGGUCGUAAAGCUCUUUCGCCAGGGAUGAUAAUGACAGUACCUGGUAAAGAAACCCCGGCUAACUCCGUGCCAGCAGCCGCGGUAAUACGGAGGGGGUUAGCGUUGUUCGGAAUUACUGGGCGUAAAGCGCGCGUAGGCGGACCAGAAAGUUGGGGGUGAAAUCCCGGGGCUCAACCCCGGAACGGCCUCCAAAACUCCUGGUCUUGAGUUCGAGAGAGGGGAGUGGAAUUCCGAGUGUAGAGGUGAAAUUCGUAGAUAUUCGGAGGAACACCAGUGGCGAAGGCGACUCACUGGCUCGAUACUGACGCUGAGGUGCGAAAGUGUGGGGAGCAAACAGGAUUAGAUACCCCUGUAGUC
rnacentral:rRNA from 1 species